GAGGCCAGAUGCCCCGCAGGCAGUAAGACGAGAGGCCGAGGACUCCGCAUACCAUGACCUCACGCAAGACGCGGAGUCCAACAGACACAGGUCACCGACCAGAAAUGAAAGCCCGAGGUGGGGGCCUCCGCGGGCCCUGGGGGUGGCCUCCCAGGCAGGGAUGCCAAGGAGGCUGGGCCAGCCCCAGGGUCCCUGAGGUGGGCUCGGGGUGCUGGGGGCGGCUGGCCGGCAGCUGGGAGACAGGUGGGGGCUUACCGAGGUGGGCGCGGGGCUCAGAGGUGCUUGGUCCUUGGGGGGUCCACGGAGGGGCCUCGGGCCUGUUGCCCAGCUGCCAGCUUGCUUGUGGGGCUGCUGCUGACCUCCACCCUCGGGGCCGGGCGUCUAUCUGUCCACUGUCCCUCCACCCUCGGGGCCGGGCGUCUAUCUGUCCACUGUCCCUCCACCCUCAGGGCCGGGCGUCUGUCUGUCCACCAUCCCUCCACCCUCGGGCUGGGGCAUCUGUCUGUCCACUGUCCCUCCACCCUCAGGGCUGGGCGUCUGUCUGUCCACCAUCCCUCCACCCUCGGGGCCGGGCGUCUGUCUGUCCACUGUCCCUCCACCCUCAGGGCUGGGCGUCUGUCUGUCCACCAUCCCUCCACCCUCAGGGCCGGGCGUCUGUCUGUCCACUGUCCCUCCACCCUCAGGGCCGGGCGUCUGUCUGUCCAUCCCUCCACCCUCAGGGCCGGGCGUCUGUCUGUCCAUCCCUCCACCCUCAGGGCCGGGCGUCUGUCUGUACACCGUUCCUGCACCCUCCUGGCUGCAGCGUAUGUCUGUCCACCGUCCCUCCGCCCUCCGGCUGGGGCGUCUGUCUGUCCACUAUCCCUCCGCCCUCUGGGCUGCGGUGUCUGUCCACUAUCCCUCCGCCCUCUGGGCUGCGGUGUCUGUCUGUCCACUGUCCCUCCACCCUCCGGGCUGGGGCGUCUGUCUGUCCACAGUCCCUCCGCCCUCUGGGCUACAGCGUCUGUCUGUCCACCGUCCCUCCACCCUCGGGCUGGGGCGUCUGUCCACUGUCCUUCAACCCUCAGGGCCGGGCGUCUGUCUGUCCGUCCCUCCACCCUCGGGGCCGGGCGUCUGUCUGUCCGUCCCUCCGCCCUCGGGGCCGGGCGUCAGUCUGUCCACCCUCCCUCCGCCCUCCGGGCUGCGGGGACAAACGUCCACCUGCGGCC
rnacentral:lncRNA from 12 species